AGAACCUUUAAAUUCAGUCCUGUGAGGCUGAGAAGGGAUCGGAUCAAUAUCAAUAUGAUAACGUAAGGCGCAGUAUGUCUUGUUCUGUACGCGUGAACGGUUCCUCUCGCUUCCUGGGCGGGAGGAUUUUUUUAU
rfam:Geobacillus sp. WCH70, complete genome.